GACGAGGUGGCUGAGUGGUUAAGGCGAUGGACUGCUGAUCCAUUGUGCAUUCUGCACGCGUGGGUUCACGUCCCUUCUUCGUCG